rnacentral:rRNA from 1 species
UUGGGGAAUAUUGGGCAAUGGGCGAAAGCCUGACCCAGCAACGCCGCGUGAAGGAAGAAGGUUUUCGGAUCGUAAACUUCUAUCCUUGGUGAAGAUAAUGACGGUAGCCAAGAAGGAAGCCCCGGCUAACUACGUGCCAGCAGCCGCGGUAAUACGUAGGGGGCAAGCGUUGUCCGGAAUGAUUGGGCGUAAAGGGCGCGUAGGCGGCCUGGUAAGUCUGGAGUGAAAGUCCUGCUUUUAAGGUGGGAAUUGCUUUGGAUACUGUCGGGCUUGAGUGCAGGAGAGGUAAGUGGAAUUCCCGGUGUAGCGGUGAAAUGCGUAGAGAUCGGGAGGAACACCAGUGGCGAAGGCGACUUACUGGACUGUAACUGACGCUGAGGCGCGAAAGUGUGGGGAGCAAACAGGAUUAGAAACCCUGGUAGUCC